rnacentral:tRNA from 1 species
GCACCGGUGGUUCAGUGGUAGGACUCUCACCUUCCAUGCGGGAGACCAGGGUUUGAUUCCCAGCCAGUGCA